rnacentral:rRNA from 1 species
CACCGCCCGUCACACCAUGGGAGUCGAGUGCUCCAGAAGUGGCUGUGCCAACCCGCAAGGGAGGCAGGUCCCCAAGGAGUGCUUGGUAACUGGGGUG